rnacentral:rRNA from 1 species
AUUGAACGCUGGCGGCGUGCUUAACACAUGCAAGUCGUGCGGUAACAGGCGUAGCAAUACGUGCUGACGAGCGGCGAACGGGUGCGUAAUACAUGGGAAUCUGCCCUUUAGUGGGGAAUAACCCGGCGAAAGCCGGGCUAAUGCCGCAUAAGAUCUUCGGAUGAAAGCGGGGGAUCGUAAGACCUCGCGCUGAUGGAUGAGCCCAUGUCGGAUUAGCUAGNGGUGAGGUAACGGCUCACCAAGGCGACGAUCCGUAGCUGGUCUGAGAGGACGGCCAGCCACACUGGGACUGAGACACGGCCCAGACUCCUACGGGAGGCAGCAGUGGGGAAUAUUGGAC